rnacentral:lncRNA from 1 species
GCCCGCACUCCGGGCUUCUGAGGGGCCGCACAGGAGGAAAGCGCGCCAGGUGCGGCGGCGACAGCGACUGCUGCUGGCCGGGCUCAGGAACUUCUCAAGGGAUGAGGACACACAACUCAUAUCUCCAAGGGCUUUCUUUGUAUUACUCAGAUGACUGGAAUUAAGAGAUGCAGAGAAGUAUUCAAGCAGAGUCAGUUCAUAAGCAAAGCAUUUGAGAAGGUCUUCUACACCCAUCACUACCUUCUAUGGAAUGGCACGGGAAGAAACUAAGAGUCAGUCACCCCAGCAGAAGUUUAAAGGGACUCCUUUCAUUGGCCAGAGAACUUGGGAACGUGGGAAUUUCUCCCAGGAUGAAUUUCCUUGCUCCUUCACCCACACCGUAUUUCCAGCUCUCCGGAAUCCCCUCCCACAUGGUGGGAGGUCCCUUUCCCCUCUGGGAUUUUCCCCUCUGGAAUUCUCUUCCACACCCUUUGUAGAAGUCUUUCUCUUCUCUUUACCUAAAUAAAAUCACCUUUCUGC